UGGCAACCUGUCCCUGGACAAGCUGCAAGUCUGUGUAGCAUCAUAGCUUCUUGACCCCGACUUCUCUUGCUAGUUUUAGCCUUGCAAUGAGCACAUUGUACCCAGCCUGAUUGUUUGAGGCUUUGAAGUUAAGCUUGAAGGCUUGCUCUAGAGUGACAUUGUUAGGGCCUUCGAGGAUGAUUCCUGUCCCGCUCCCCUUCACAUUGAACACACCUUCAACAUAGAGGAUCCACCAG
rnacentral:lncRNA from 1 species